ensembl:lncRNA
AAUAUAUUUUUUAUACCAUUACCAGACCACUAUGCGCCUUACAAUGCUACAGCUAUUUAUUUAACGAGACAGAAAAACGUAUGACAGGGCCAAUCGUAAGGGAAAGAAUUGCUCGAACUGGUCUGGGAUCGAGAUCUGACCGACGGACGCGGGCGUUUCAGAGCAGAUGAAGCUUUCCACAGGAACCUGGUCACAUGCUGCGGGAUUAAUCUCAAAUAGACUCCGAUUCUUAAGAAUUUGCCGCACUGUAUAAUCACUCAUGGUUCCUGGAAGCUGUGGGGUGCCAUGCCGUAAUUCCGACGCCUCGUUGUUCCGAGGUCUCAAUGGUCCGAAAUAUUUCCCAUGAGAUCGACAUGCCACUAUGUCGGGUUACGGACCCGUCACCUCCUUGCGGACCCUCCCUAGAGGGUGAAGGAAACGUUGAGCAGCGCCAGACUGUUGAGUCACUGUGAGAGAAAAGGUGUAGGCCUAUAAGAUGGCUGUGAGGGACACGUUUGCAGACUUUUACGGUUGGCCUCCUGUGAGACGUCACAUCUCCUCUUUUCAAGCAAAAGCACAAGACAUUAAAAGUCCUGCCGCGAUCCGGAACCGUUCAAAACGGCGAAUCCAGUUUGGCCAAUUACCGAAGUGCGAGAAGUCAAAGUUAUCCGGUGGGCUUAUUGAGAACAGGGACUCUAUUUUUCCGUUUGGAGGCUUGCACGACGCUGUCUCUCACCGUCUCGCUGGCUCUCCGCUCUGCUAGUUUCUAACUGCUAGCUUAGCCUAGCUUAUCCCUGACGGCAUUUACACUGCACAGAAGUCUGUUUUUAUUUUCCAAACCAUCUUUCAGGAACUCUGACGUCGCUUGUGACGGGUUUCAGCACUUCUGACACCAUGUA